rnacentral:rRNA from 1 species
CCUACGGGUGGCUGCAGUGAGGAAUAUUGGACAAUGGAUGGAAAUCUGAUCCAGCCAUGCCGCGUGCAGGAAGACGGCCCUAUGGGUUGUAAACUGCUUUUGUGUGGGAGCAAUAAGGUCUAUGCGUAGACUGAUGAGAGUACCAUACGAAUAAGCAUCGGCUAACUCCGUGCCAGCAGCCGCGGUAAUACGGGGGAUGCAAGCGUUAUUCGGUUUUAAUGGGUUGAAGGCGUUUGGAGACGGUAGGAGUGAAAUAUUUCAGCUUAACUGAAAGGUUGCCGUUGAUACUGUCAGGCUUGAAUAUGGUUGCUGUGGGUGGAAUGUGUGGUGUAGCGGUGAAAUGCUUAGAUAUCACACAGAAUAUCGAUUGCGAAGGCAGCUCACAAAGCCAUUAUUGACGCUGAUGCACGAAAGUGUGGGGAUCAAACAGGAUUAGAUACCCUAGUAGUC